GGUUGAUCCUGCCAGUAGUCAUAUGCUUGUCUCAAAGAUUAAGCCAUGCAAGUCUAAGUACGAGCUCUCGUACAGUGAAACUGCGAAUGGCUCAUUAAAUCAGUUAUGGUUCAUUUGAUCGUACAGUUUACUUGGAUAACUGUGGUAAUUCUAGAGCUAAUACAUGCGAGAAGCGCCGACCUCGCGGGAGGCGUGCAUUUAUCAGACCAAAAACCGGCCGCGUCUUCGGGCGCGUUCGCCUUGGUGACUCUGGAUAACUUUGCGGAUCGCACGGUCUAGCACCGGCGACGGAUCAUUCAAGUGUCUGCCCUAUCAACUUUCGUCGGUACGGUAUUUGCCUACCGAGGUUCUUACGGGUGACGGGGAAUCAGGGUUCGAUUCCGGAGAGGGAGCCUGAGAAACGGCUACCACAUCCAAGGAAGGCAGCAGGCGCGCAAAUUACCCAUUCCCGACGCGGAGAGGUAGUGACGAAAAAUAACAAUGCAGGACUCGUUCGAGGCCCUGUAAUUGGAAUGAGUACACUUUAAAAGCUUUAACGAGUAUCCAUUGGAGGGCAAGUCUGGUGCCAGCAGCCGCGGUAAUUCCAGCUCCAAAAGUAUAUAUUUAAGUUGUUGCGGUUAAAAAGCUCGUAGUUGGAUUUUGGGCGCAGGCGGCCGGUCCGUCGCAAGGCGUGUACUGGACGUCCUGGCCUUCCCUCCGGUUCUCCGCCGGUGCUC
rnacentral:ncRNA from 1 species